CUUAGGAACCUUACAGGUGCUGGUUGCCAAGCAAGGAGCAAACAAUGCUGAGACAACACCAAGGUAUGGCCCUUGGACUUUGGAGUCAGAAGUGACAUUUGGGUGACAUUGAGCCACAGCAGCAAGCAGAGGGAGGCCCUGUGCAAGCAGGUAUUAACCUAGUUCAGAGGCCAGUGCCUCUCUGGACAGGUUGUUCAAGCCCAUAGCUCCAAGGGGGCAGGCAGGACUAACAGCUCAUGCAGAGGCUGGAGGUGGUCAGCAGAGGGAGCUUGAGUCUACAGCAAAGAACUGCUUCCUUCGUUUUGACACGUUCUCCCCAGCCCAUCGUCUUUAGCAUACCUCAUUGCCAUGGAUAUUUGCAGAUCCAGCUGAUGGGCAGCUCAUUUGUUGUGAUGGAAGAAACCUUGAAGAACUCCCUGCUACCCACUUAUUUUCAAGGCAUUCAUAGCUAUCAUUCCCAAGAACAUCUGAAAACAACGGGAUGGCAUCACCCUCCAGCUCCCCCUUCCCUGGCUCUCUCGAGAAGCUCUGUGUCGUAUUGUCAGUGUUUUAUAUAUUUACACCAACAGAGGAGGCCUGGGAUGUGGGCUUUUUCGUUUAUAUGAGUCUCACCGCCACAGGGGGUAUUUAACUUUCUGCCCUGGUUGCUGUAAUUCUCUCUCCAGUGGAUAUACAGUUCAGAUCAG
rnacentral:lncRNA from 1 species